rnacentral:rRNA from 1 species
UACAGAGACUGCAAGCGUUAUUCGGAUUCACUGGGCGUAAAGGGUGCGCAGGCGGCCGUGUGUGUGAGGCGUGAAAGCCUGGAGCUUAACUCCAGAAUUGCACCUCAAACUACAUGGCUAGAGCAUUGGAGAGGGUAGCAGAAUUCAUGGUGUAGCAGUGAAAUGCGUAGAUAUCAGGAGGAACACCCGUAGCGAAGGCGGCACUCUGGGCCGAUACUGACACUGAGGAGCGAAAGCGUGGGGAGCGAACAGG